CUUCACCGACCCCAGUAGCAGCGGCUCCGAACGAUCCUGUCCGUACGUGGCAAGCAGAGCCUGCGCCUC
rnacentral:antisense_RNA from 1 species